rnacentral:miRNA from 10 species
AAAUUCGUAUUUGCGGCGUAAU